rnacentral:rRNA from 1 species
UUUUUGUAGGUGGCGGCGAGCGAGGAAGGAAGGAGUGGGAUCGGGGUUAGGUGUCGGGGUGCGGGGAGCGGGGAAGGAAGGAGUGGGCGGCGGCGAGGGAGGGUGGAGGAGGAGGAGGAAGACGCGGGAUCCUCGGGGCGGCGGCGGGACGACGAUGAGGAGGUGGCCGGGUGGGACGACGCAGCGCUCGGGGAGGGAGGAGAAGCGUAAGGCCACCAGCUAUCAGCUCCAGUUGCUCCUCUACGUGCGCCGCCGCCGGUACCUGCUGAGGUACUCGCCCUGGUGGCGGCAGCACCGCGGACGCCGGCCGCCGCGUGAGUUGAGAGAGGGAGUGUGGGGGAAGAGGUGGAGGCCGGCGGCGCCGGUCCGGCCGUACCGCCGCGCGGUGGCGCGGUUGUCGUGGGGGGUGGUGAUCGGCGACGAGGCGGUGAAGUGGUAGCGGUAGGUAGGUAGGUAGUGGGUCGCGGUGGCGACGUGGUAGGUGGUAGUCGCGGCGGUGGACUUGGGACUUGGUGGUCGUUGGGUGCAGCCGCGGUGGGUGGUGAAGGUGAGGAGGGGGAGAGAGAACGACGAGGAGGGAGGACGAAGCGGGGACGACGAAGAGAAGAAGGGGUACGGAGAUGACGACGAAGAGGGAAGAGGUUGGAGGACGACGACAGAGGAAGAGAACGAGGCGACGAGGAGGAUUAUAAGAGACUUGGUCUUUUGACGACGACGAGAGGAGAGUUGCAGAACGACGACGAGAAGAGACUUUGGAGUUUUGACGACGAAGAAGAGGGAGAGAGAGAAGAGAUUAAAAGACAUUAGAACUCAUCACAUUACAAGUCAUGAAACUUUACAAGUCUUAACUCUACACAUCGUGAACAUUCCAAGUAUAAAACUAUUCACAAACGUUGGUUGAUCAAACAAGUCAAGCAUGAACAAUUUAUAGUACAGUAUUUAAGAUACAAGACUUAUCACCUAAAGAACAACGAAACCCUUGAUUGAUUAUACAUUAUAAAACAAUGAAACCAUUAAUCACAAGACAGUCGUAUAUACACACAAGUGGGACACAUAAAGAAGAACGACAUGAUCAAUUUAAGAUAGUCAUUAAAAAUCAACAAUUUAUGGCAACACAACUAGACACCCAUGAUUAGAACACCGAACAUUCUAAAGCAAAGACAACAGUGAACACAUUGGACUUGGCACCACAUCAUAGGACAAGCGUAUACACACCAAAACACACAAGACAUCAGGGGCAUAGUCAAUACAUGGACACUAUAUACUUACACGCACACACACAAACUAAACUUUGUUAAUAUAAGACAGUAUAUAACAGCGAAGAAGGAUAACAAUAUACAAACUAUGAUUACACAGGAACAGAACAUCGAAAUGAACUAUAACUGAGGACAAACACAAUCAUAAAAUUAAGGAGUUUAUUUUGUUUUAUGGUUUUUCUAUCACUCAUUAUAGAAUUGGAGGGAAACGAUAAAACGUAAAAGAACCACCUAAUAGAAGCCCAUGUUAGUAACAAUCAAAUCUAAGAAUAAAAGACGUAAAUAGAGAAUUAACACGAUGGAUCGAAAUCGGCUCGUAUCAGCAGCAGUGGAUCAAAGACACCUCUUGUGCUGUAGGCAUCAAACCCCGCAUUUUUGGGACGAUAUGAAAGUUAACUAGUGCCUCCAACCGCCGCUCUACCGCUACCUCUGGCACAGGAGCCUCUGCCACCUUUCCCUAAUAAGUGGCCCGACAUUAAUAAACAGGCUUUCCCUAAAUAAAACGGGGUCCGGCUCUACCGGCUUUUAGUUUAGAGACGGGAAUUUUAGUGAAGUUAGACAACGAAUCAAAGACGAGACUUCAUCGGGUAUCUCAAUGUACGUACAACAUGUGGAUUUUUAACCUCUAAAGUAGGGAAUGAUCUCUCAAUAGGUUAUGUUACCCAACGUACAACUAAGUACAACUGAUCUAUAUCCAAAGUUAGAACGGCCCUUGUAACCGAGCUGAACUAUCUCUUCGUGGUUUGAUGGUUUUCAUACGGACCGAAAUGUACUGGUUUCGAACGUAUAAGUUAGGUACCUAGUAAUACAUAACGACGUAUUUAAGCUUCAAGAUUGGAACAAAAUGAAAAGAUUUUCCCUACCGAUGUUGCUAAAGUUAUGUAAGAUGUAUGUCCGACGUAGACCAUGAUUUCCACCGAGAUCACCAAGGGGACAACAACUAACGGUUCCUUCUCGACAACGUGACUUACGUCCUUCGUCGUCAAGGUCACGAAGCCGGAAGAUGGAAGGUAAUCUGCCACAUCAAUCUCGUGAGUUAGACUAUGCACCGACAACCCUGUGUAAACCAUCGUUCGGUCUUAGACGAAUAUAAGGAGCACCAUGUGAAGUCCACUGAAAAGUUGUGUUUCCAAAGCUUCUUUGAACUACAGAACCUGCGUCCUUACUUUGGCUCGUCCGACAUGCUGAACAAAGAGGUCGUCCCCUCUGACCUUACGACCAACAACUAAGAAACCACGGUCUACCUGGACGUCUGUUUGUAGACUUUGGACCACUGCACGACUAAGCGUACUUACCCCUCCAUGUUAACAAAAGUUUACUAACAUUGCGUUAAAGAGUGAUACCUCAGGAAUGAACUACUCUCACAACCGUCGCUCUAUUUAAACGUCUAGCUUUCUCCACCUUGAGGAAACUGUCAUUUCGACUUCCAUCAAACGCUCGAACUGUGUAGAAUAAAUUAGACCGCUCACUACGCACUCGACAGAGCUAGGAAAACGAGACAAUAAUAUAAAAUCGGUACUUCCUAAAUGACGAUCAGUCAAGCAUCACCAAGGUCGACAAACGACUUGAAGACAAGAACGAACACGAUAAAAAAAAUGACAAAUCUACCGAGUUAAAUGAAGGUUAAAAUGAGAACUCAAAAGGGUACGUACGUAUGAGACAAUUAAAUAAGGCUCACGGGUAUCAAGGGAGAGAUCGUCGUGGUGUACACGAGAACAGAGUGGGUAUUGUUGUUAAAUGAUCAUCAUACAGAGAACCGUACCCACGAUCGAAUCCAGGGAAGAUGAUGAUGAGGUGAAACAUUGAACAGACAUAAGAUAAUGAAACAUGUAUACACAGACUCGACACAAUAUAAGUAGAAGGAGUUCAUGAUGUUGUGACCAUCAACAUGCGUAUACUACCACUAAGCGAGGCCGGUAAGGUCAAAACCGCCACCACCACCACGACGAGGAUACUACCAUCUGAGCAGACUAAAGGGAUCGGCGUAGGUACCACUACUUCGAGCCGGAUCCGAUCUUGGGGGAGGUCACUCGAGGAGUUCAGGAGAAUAUGGGGAGGAUGAACGAACAACCAAGAUACGAGACGGAAACACUCCACAUUAAAAGGUUAAAACAAGUAUCAGCUCGUAACCUACUAUAACAUAAACAGUACUACAUGUACCAAGUACUUGAUACGGUUGGACGUCGAAACAACAUGAUCACUAUCAUCCUAUUACGUUCAAAACUGUUAGGUACGUAUAAAGGCGUAGUAUUAUUAGAAGAAGAUCAGAAGAAGAAGAUUGAAAGAAGAAAGGGUAAAAUGUCUAAACGAAUUCUAGUGCCUUCAAACCCAACUACCUCACGAACAUAAAUCAAAAACAAAACUGGAACACUUUGAACGAUGGAUACCUACUUUGACACAUUAUAACUACUUUGAUACAUAUACAUGCCUACUUUGAACAAUGAUAACCAUUGUACACAACCUAUAUAUACACAAGUAC